UUGCAAGCCUCCAUUGUACGUGUUUCAGGAUGACCCUGGGCAUUUCUAUAGAACUUGAGAGAAAAUUCUGAAAUGACUUUGUACUAUGCCUUGCACAAUCAAGACAAGGUUAUACAAAUUUCAGACAGUU
rnacentral:snoRNA from 1 species